CCAUCUGCAAGCAGGGUUCUGCCUCUUGACCUCUACCGAGGGUUGCUGCGAGGCUGCCUGCGGACUCGAGGCUGGUGAACACAAAGUUUUCUGGUGCUGGAGCCACAUGUCCGGCUGGUGUGUUGCUUGGAUCUGCAGCGUGAGGAGAAGGCACUUGAGUUAUUUGUGUAGUUGGGAUGAAAUGAUCCAGAGCCCAGUGACAUGGGACAUGUCAGCUGUCCACCUGCUCGUUAACUCUGCCUCACAGACAGCGACACCGCUGCAGCCGCUGUGCCACCAUCGUUGCUGCCAUGGGGUUUCCCUGACUCUGAAAUCCACGAGGGCAUUUCACUGUCCAGAGGCAGAGCCUCGCUGCCGGUGGAGGGGUCACAUGGGAGCUGCCUGCCUGGAGCUGCUUGUCUCCAGCCUGCACUGUAGGGCCAUACACUUUUUCGAGAUGACUGCCUUA